ACUCUUAUGUCCAGGGCAUAGCUGUGAAGAGAACGGGAGUUAUUUUCAAGGUCUCAAGAAAGGGAAAAGGCGCACUACUUCGCAAGGCUACUAAGAUCAAAAGAGUCACUCUUCCCUCUGAGGGCGGAGAACGCGGAGGGAUUCUUCAAAGACCCACCUCGUUUCCGGUGUCGGCGGGAGGGGCGGGGAGAGAAGUCUUUCAGCCCAAGGAAGGUCUUUAUUGUGAUGUCCGAGGCCGCCUGGUUAUCGCGCGAGAUGCUUGUGGAGAGCGAGCGUCGAGCUGAUUGGUUAGUCAUGAUGCAGUUCCGUGAAGACAUUUUUUGUUAAACUGGUAGCCGUCACUCUCCCAAUUCUGUAACUGCCCGGAGUAUCGUAACCACUUCCCAGGACGUCCGCAUAAUAGCGCUAAUGGGGGAGAAGCUUGAGAACCCAAGCCCACUCGCGGAAGUUCACGUUUGGAAGCAGCAGUUCAGGUCAAGGCCUGCAACUUGCUCUCCAGUGGGGAGCUGUGAAGAGUGCCAAGGAAAGGUCUCCAUCAUUCUCCCGUGUCCUUCACAGUCGGGCCCUGUGGUGUUUCAGUCGGCCAUGGAAAUAUCUGUGGGAGGGCUGCGAAGUCAAAAAAUUGGGGAAACACUGUCUUUGAUAACUACAAACCAUUCGUUGCUUUGAUUUAGUCGAGGUAGUCCAACGAUUUUUUUAGGCCAAACUUAGAACCAGUGGGACUAGGUGUGUAGCCCAGAGUCACACCGUUGCCAGUGGAGGCAGUAUGGGGCAGGCCUUGGAAGACAAGAUUUUUGAGGCAAACUCAAGAACCCUGGCUCUUCUAUUUAGUAGCUGAGGCGUUUUGGUUAAGCAAUUUAUCCUUGCUGAGCCAGUUUCCUCAUCUGUAAAAUGAGGCUAAUGAGUAUCCUCAUCCUUAGACUGAAGCUCAUAGAUGGAAAGCACUGAGCGAAGUGCAGGUAAGCGCUCAAUUAAUGGUUGCCUAUUAUUACCAUUAUUAGAACUCAGGUCUUCUGAUCGUGGACUCCCCAUUCCACAUCUCCCUUACAUCAUCCUGCUUCCUCAGAGGCCGCCUAUUCUUGAUGAGGAUGAAACCAGCAACAACUGGUACAUGCAAAAGCACACUGCUUACUGGGACAAGAACGGUCUCUCUACUGCCUUGGAGAAUCACAAAUGUCAGGAUAUAACAGUUUUCUGAUCUUUAUCUCUGAACCAUUACACAAGUCUUCCAUGGUGUGACUAAGGACCCACGGGGCACGUCCUCCUUUUCCUGUAUCAGGGGACCUGCCAGUGCCUCCUUAUGGACGACCAUGCGGAAGGUUGAGAAUUAAAGAAAGUAACAUUGUCCCAGUUUUGACAUCUCAGAGCCACAGAUGAUUGACUCCAGUGGCAGCUUGUCCCAUCUGUUCCAUCAUGGAGACCCAGAUCAAGCACUUGAAAGGUUCUCCUGGCUGAAAAUGGAGAAGCAGAUCAUUCCUGUAAGAAAAUGUUUUACACCACACACAGAAGUCAAAGCUCUUGGAAAGGAGACUUUUAUUUUUUUCUCUCUAUGCUGUGCAAGGUCCUCAUGUUCCCCAGCUUUAUUUCCUCCAAGGAGAAAAAAGAUAGCAGUUCUCCAGGUCUCGGGGCUAAGCUGCUUCCAUGUGGACCUAGCAAAGGUGGAACAGGACUGGUGACGGAUCCCAGAUCUACCAGCUGAGUGCAUCCACUGCUGCUGAAGGGCAGGCAAGUGACUGGAAGGCAAGUAGUGGACUCAGCCUCAGGGACCAAGAAUUUAAAGACUCCAAGGUGAUCCAAAUGAAAAGGUAAACAUGCUGGACAGUUAGCCUCAGAAGCCACAUCUGGUGUUUUGACCACUCAGAAUCAGCAGUGUGUAAAAGGGCCAUAGCCUGACAGUCCUAGUACCAGGUGUCCUUACUAUUCUCUUUGGCCUUGAGCUUUAGCAGGAAGGGCAGAGUGUUAACCAACCCUGUGAGCAGUUUUCAGCCAGGAUCACAGUAUCAAGGAAGUGUGCCAGGGCAAAGGACUAAGACACAUGGCGGCAGGGGGGUCCCUAGAUGCAUAACCCUUCCUGGGCCCUCUCCAGGACUUUGUGAUCCUGAAGCUGAUUCCUUAUCAAAACCAUGUGAGUUCUUAGGGGGCACCUGGGUGGCUCAGUCAGUUAAAUGGCUGGCUCUUAACCUCAGGGUCCUGAGUUCAAGCCCGGCAUUGAGCCCCAUUCUGGAGCAUGGAACCUACUUU